UGGGGAAUAUUGCACAAUGGGCGAAAGCCUGAUGCAGCAACGCCGCGUGAGUGAUGGCGGUCUUCGGAUUGUAAAGCUCUGUCUUUGGGGACGAUAACGACGGUACCCAAGGAGGAAGCCACGGCUAACUACGUGCCAGCAGCCGCGGUAAUACGUAGGUGGCAAGCGUUGUCCGGAUUUACUGGGCGUAAAGGGUGCGUAGGCGGACCUUUAAGUGAGAUGUGAAAUCCCCGAGCUUAACUUGGGGGCUGCAUUUCAAACUGGAGGUCUAGAGUGCGGGAGAGGAGAGUGGAAUUCCUAGUGUAGCGGUGAAAUGCGUAGAGAUUAGGAAGAACACCAGUGGCGAAGGCGACUCUCUGGACUGUAACUGACGCUGAGGCACGAAAGCGUGGGGAGCAAACAG
rnacentral:rRNA from 1 species